rnacentral:other from 1 species
CGUCCUCUGCUGUGUGCGACGGCGUGUGCAAACAUUCGCCUUGGCCCUUAAAUACGACCACGGGAGCGUGGCGGUAACCCGGAGUGCAGGCCCGUCCACGAGCGGGAAGCCCGAAGGAUACCCAGCGUUCCCACUUGAACCCCGGGUUCAAGGUCGUUUCGCACGCAUCGGCAUGGUGGAGGGCGA